UCUCUGGGGGCUCGGUUUCUUCCCGGCCUCCAGCUUCUCUGCUUGUAUUCUGUCCUCACGCAGGAUUCAAGUUGCCAUCCCAGAAGUGACCUUGCCGCAUGAUGCCUAAGAUCCCAGAUGACUCCCCUGGCCUCAAACCCCAAUUCCUUAGUCUCGGAUCCAUGGCUGGGCCUCCACCUGUCUCCCCUUCACUGCCCAACCCUCACCCCCAAAACCCUUGCCUGUAGACAACACCUUAGAUGCCUCUGUUCUUUCAAGACUGAUUUUGAUCCUGUUCUGUUCUCUGCCCAAACCCCAGAAAACCCCGAAGGUCCCUCAGCUUGUCAAACCCUCGUAGGCUCAGCUUGUCUAGCGUCUCCUACCAUCUCUGUGCCAUCUCCCCGAACCCCGUGCGGAAUCCACCUCUUGCGGUUGGCAUCAGUCUGGCUCAGUCAGGUGCCCACUCUGUGCCCCUACUAGUCUGCGGAUUCUUUAAAAACAAGAGCCUGGUUUCAGCAUGGCCCUGGGGAUGGGAGAGAUGAACACUGUAAGAAUAAAACCGUCACUGAGUGUCUGCAGCUCUGUCUGUACUGAAAAAAACUCAAGAGAGUCUCUAUCAAGAGGGUCUCCUGAUAGUCUGCAAACCUCAGAAAAAAGCAGACACUUCCAAAAACUGAAACUGCCCUCCAUUUCUGCCUGUGUCUUUGCGUUCUUCCCCACCACACUUAGCUAUGUGCCAUCUCUACUCAUAAUGGGUACUUGAUAACCCUUGGGGGAAUAAAACUGAGAUGUUCCUUAAGCUCAGGCUCAAGGUGAUUAAAGUGAGUAUGGUAAAUCAUGGAGGAAUAGACACGAAUGGCCAUGAACUCAUUCAUUUUACAGAUAAUUCCUAGGCUAAGAGUCCCUCAACUCUGAGUCAAACCCUGGGGAAGUAGACCCAGACCCUUCCUGACUCUUGGGAUGGCUAGAUUUCUUUCUCUCUUUAGAUUCACUGCUUCCAGUCCCACUGGGAAAGCUGUCUUUAAACUCUGAGGGUAAAUCCAAGUGAACGUUUUCAUUCCCAGGCAGUUCAACAGUGAUGAUUUAUUGCAACAAACUAGGUACAAAGGUGCUGAGAGAACUGGAAGUGCCACCAAAGGAAGGUGAGGCAAUCCUGAGAUUAGCAACUGCUGGAUGCACCUCCUCCCCUAGGGCUCAGGGGACAAAGGGAAGAAGCUGCCAGAACCAUGAAGGUCUUGCCCAGUGAGAGCUGGAGCCGUGAAGGAAGUAACAAUGACUGCCGGAGGUCCCUCCCAAAUCAGAGGAAUCCCCUGGUUUCUUCCUCCCACCCUCCAGGGCCACCCAGUGGUAGAAAGCAGAAGCCAGUGGACAAGACGACAGAGAGCAGGCAGGGGUCAGAGCAGAGUAGGAAAAGGAGGUGGAACAGAGAGCACGGUGGCAAGCCACUGGCAUUCCGAGCUUGGGCGAGGCACCUGCUUACCUCUGGGACUCUGGGAUUCUGCAGGAGCAGAACCAACUUUCUUUCUAAGCCCCAGAACUCCCUUCCUCCCUCUGUUCCCCUUUUGCACUUUUUGCUUCUAUUCUUCUUCUGUCCUCUUUUCUACUAUAAUUCCCUUAUAUUUCUUUUUUUUUCUCUCUUAUUCUCUAGUUCUCAUUUUUUUCUAACUGUUCUAGUAGACAGCCUCCUAACUUCUCUUUUCUCCCUGGAGUCUCUGCUCACCUCGGUUUGUCCUACUCCUUCCUGGGUAGGAUGAAGCCUUCUUCAGCAUGAACGAGAGGAGCAGAUUCCUAUGCUCCUGGCAUGCUGUAGCUAAUACUUCUUUGAAGAGAAAGAUGAAGCAAUUUGCCCACGCCAUUUGGCCCAGCAGCUGCCCCAACAUCUCCGCUGGUUGGAAUCCGCCUUCCUCAGGUGGGUUUCCUCCAAGCUUCAUCAUGUCAGAUUCAAAGGCUGCUGCUGAGAACCCCCACAAGAAGACCAGGACCUCUCCAUACCCUGGUUCCAAAGUGGAGGGAAGCCAGGUCCCGGACAAGAAGCCAUCAAAAGGAAGGACUGUGGAGAAUGGACCAUUCCAGGGGAAAUGGUGGAGCCAGGAGAGAAAAUUAGUACCAUACUGAAGACAGAAUUUGGGGAGGAAGCCAUGAACUCCUUAUAGAAAUCUAGAGCAAAGACUCCGGAGCUGGAGAAACAGCUGCACAAACUAUUCAAUCAGUAACACUUGGUGUCUAUAAAGGUUACAUGGAUGAUCCCCGCAACACAGAUAACUCGUGGAUGGAGACAGAGGCUGUGAACUACCACGAUGAUACAGGAUCUUUAGUUUUAUGGGAAAAGUUUCAUCUCUAUUUUACUUAUGAAUGAGCUAGAAAAAUAAGACGCAGCAACAAAAUGAGCUUAAUAUCCAGCCCUCUGGUUACAAGAACUAUUUCUGAACAGAAUGGACUAAGCUCAGGAUAUGUGUUUCCUCUCAUCUCAGAAGACUCAAUAAAUGUGAAUUUCUGUCAUAAAGAAGUCUUUGUCAGAAGAUGUAUGUAAAUCUCAGCCUAAUAAAAAUACAGUUCAUUU